rnacentral:tRNA from 2 species
GCCGAAGUGGCGGAAUGGUAGACGCGGCGGUCUCAAAAACCGUUGCCCGCAAGGGCGUGACAGUUCGACUCUGUCCUUCGGCACCA